UUGAUCUUACUGGCUCAUGGUCAAAUGUUAAAGGCUGAAUAAAUAACCGAAUUUUAAAAUUUCACAUUUCAUUGAUUUGCAUGUACGUAGAUUGUUCUACUCAUUGUAUUCCUAUAAGUCAUCAUGCACAAUCUUGAAUUAAAAGUAUUGGUUUCAAUGC